rnacentral:lncRNA from 1 species
GGGGGUGGUGCUCAUUGAUAGGUGUUUUCCUUUUGGAAGGGGGCUGUGAUACAUACAGAUUCAACCAAACGGGAAGGAGGGCCUGUGAGCCACUGGGUUUCAAACAAUGUAACCAAGAGUCAACACGUGGGCAGAAAAUAGGUUUCCUUUGCAGUUCAUUAUCUUCAGAAAGAGCUUUCCAGCCUCAGCCUCUCUGCCACCCCGGCUCUCUUAACUUCUUUCCUCUUCUCGGCUUAUUUGGGUUGGCUUCUUGGACCACUUCUCUCUCUCUCAACUGGAGACAGAGGAUCCAACAUAGGAGGCAGACAGACUUGGGCUUCAACCUGCUUCCACUUGCUGUAUUGGAAAUGUCCUUGGCAGCAAAAUGUGCAUUUGACUACAUUUCCAGAGUUUAUGGAUGGAUGAGGGUGGUCGGUAAGAGUCAUUUUGGGGAACUGGUUAUUCUUGUCUAAUAUUUAUCUUUUUAUUCACUCAACCAUGUGAACAGUGAGUUUGAAGUC